rnacentral:rRNA from 1 species
UACGUAGGGUCCGAGCGUUGUCCGGAUUUAUUGGGCGUAAAGAGCUCGUAGGCGGUUCCGUAAGUCGGAUGUGAGAACUCAGGGCUCAACCCGGAGACGCCAUCUGAUACUGCGGUGACUGGAGUCUGGUAGGGGAUCACGGAAUUCCUGGUGUAGCGGUGAAAUGCGCAGAUAUCAGGAGGAACACCAAUUGCGAAGGCAGCUCGCUGGGACGUUACUGACGCUGAGACGCGAAAGCGUGGGGAGCAAACAGG